UACGUAGGACGCAAGCGUUGUCCGGAAUCACUGGGUGUAAAGGGUGCGUAGGCGGGGAAGUUAGUCAGUGGUGAAAUCUCACGGCUCAACCGUGAAACUGCCGUUGAUACUGCUUUUCUUGAGUUUGGGAGAGGUCGAUGGAAUUCCAGGUGUAGCGGUGAAAUGCGCAGAUAUCAGGAGGAACACCCGUAGCGAAGGCGGCACUCUGGGCCGGAACUGACGCUGAGGAGCGAAAGCGUGGGGAGCGAACAGG
rnacentral:rRNA from 1 species